rnacentral:pre_miRNA from 1 species
AUAACAUUACGACCGUCGGUCUUCGGAGCGAUUUCACACGCCCGGUGGAAGAUCUUUCCUCUGUCGU